rnacentral:rRNA from 1 species
UCUGGUUGAUCCUGCCAGUAGUCAUACGCUCGUCUCAAAGAUUAUAGCCAUGCAUGUCUCAGUAUAAGUUUUCACAUAACGAAACUGCGAAUGGCUCAUUAAAACAGUUAUAGUCUACUUGAUAGUCAAACGUUAUACGGAUAACUGUGGUAAUUCUAGAGCUAAUACGUGCAUAAAGACCUGACUUCUCGGAAAGGUCGUAUUUAUUAGAUACAGAACCAAUCCCUUCGGGGUUUUUGGAUGAUUCAUAAUAAAUGAACGGAGCGCAUGACUUGUGUCGGCGCUGUUUCAUUCGAGUUUCUGACCUAUCAGCUUCCGACGGUAGGGUAUUGGCCUACCGUGGCAUUGACGGGUAACGGAGAAUUAGGGUUCGAUUCCGGAGAGGGAGCCUUAAAAACGGCUACCACAUCUAAGGAAGGCAGCAGGCGCGCAAAUUACCCAAUCCUGAUAUAGGGAGGUAGUGACAAGAAAUAACACAGAGAGUGCUUAUUGCAUUUCUCUUUGGAAUGAGCAGAAUUUAAAUCUCUUUUCCACUAUCAAUUGGAGGGCAAGUCUGGU